ensembl:lncRNA
CUCAGGAUAAUACUGUAAUAACUAACAUUUACUUCUUACUCUGCAACAGACAUGUUGUUACGGGGCUGGCAUGAAAAGCCAGCAAGUAGGGGAGAGCCUAAGUUCAAGUCUCUGUACCCUUUUUCCCACAUAAUUCAGCUGAAUAGUUGAAUGAAGCGCCCCUGAUAUUUCCAUCCCGGUAGAAGAACACUCCUGGCCUUCCUCACUCAUUAACCCGAUCCCUAGGUAAGCGGGGUGGCUUAUCUGACUGGCACAUUCAGGUAAUUUGGCGAGCUAGGCUUUGCCCUUGUUCCUUCAGGGAGCCCCGCGGGGGGGCGCCAGUCCCUGGCCCCUCCCACGGCUCUGCACCUGCCCCUUCCAGCGUUGCACGGCUGCGGGACCCCUUUGCUUUUGGGGUUCAGAAGCCCAGCUGAUGGUCCAUACACAAGCAACCUGGCCUCUCUCCAGAGAUGGUGCCAUCCCUCGAAGUACGUUUUCAAACAGCUCUUGGAAUGUUCGUGAGCCUGUGUGCAAGCUAACACAAGAAAAACAGUGUCGUUAUUUUAUUAUCUCACUUUUUUUAAUAGCACUGACGUCUGAUGUGUUUUACACGGACAGCGCGUCUCCAGUGGCCACCGCCUGCCGUGUGGGACGGUGCGCGUACAGGCGGACGAAUGGGGACUUAGACAUGACCGUGCCCGUUUGCCCGACAUCGCGCAGCCGCGGCCCUCCGGGCCGGCGUGACACGGAGUGUACUGAUCGCGAUUGUACUUUAUUUUUAGGCUCCUUCCGAAACAGUCCUUAUCUCAAGGAGGUAUUUUCGUUUUCCAGUUUCCUAAAUGUGUUUCUAGAUACCCUGGACAGGGGAGAGUGGGAGAGACAGGACCGGAAGUAAUUGAGAUUUCUCAGCCAGCGGCUCCGUGCUGGCGGUUGGUAUGUGCUGGUCCACUUAUCUCAAGGGCCAAAUGCCCUUCAGGAUCGAGAGGAAGCAUAAAGAAUUGUCUUUCGAGGUGCACAGAAUCUGUUUCCGGGGUAGAAGCCUUGCGGAAACCCAGGAGCACGUUCCUGGGAGUAGUUAGGUGGCCAUGGAGAUCCCUUGCAAGCUCUGUAAGAAGCCCAGAGCAGGGCGUCUGUGGCUCCUGGGCGGCUCAGCAGGUUGAUGUCGGCUCUGGUUUCGGCUCAGGUCAUGAUCUCACGGUCUGUGGGAUCAAGCCCCGUGUGGGGCUUUGUGCGGACGGUGUGGAGCCUGCUGGGGAUUCUCUCUCUCCCUCUCUUUCUGCCCCUCUCGUGCCUGUACACGCGCACACUCUCCCCGUGUCUCAGACUACGUAAGUAAACAUUAAAGAAAGAAAAGAAAAAGAAGUGCUCCAGAGCGAGGGACAGGAGCCAGACUGCCUGGACUUACACGGUAGCACCUUCCCGUCCGCCACCCUCCCGCCCGCCGGCCAGAAUGCGCAGCGGGGGCACUGGUCAUCCACGCGGGAAACGGACAGAGCGAAGCCAGAACCCCGUGUCUCCCUCUUGCUCUUGCAGCCUCCGCGUGGCCUCGGAAAGGCUGCUCUAACACCUCGGCCUUCGGUUUUCUCCACUGGCAAAGUGGGGACAGCAGUUCAUGCCUCACAGGGUGGUUUGAGGAUUCACGAGAAAAGGAACCCAAAUCACUUGGCCCGGUACCUGGCAAAAGAGGAGGCACAGAAUAAAUGCCCAUUGUUAUUCUUAUUGUGACCA